GUGGGGAAUCUUCCGCAAUGGACGAAAGUCUGACGGAGCAACGCCGCGUGAGUGAAGAAGGUUUUCGGAUCGUAAAGCUCUUUCGUUAGGGACGAACGUGCUCUUUGUGAAUAAUGAGGAGUAAUGACGGUACCUAAAUAAGAAGCCACGGCUAACUACGUGCCAGCAGCCGCGGUAAUACGUAGGUGGCAAGCGUUGUCCGGAAUUAUUGGGCGUAAAGCGCGCGCAGGCGGGAUAUCAAGGCUGUAUUAAAAGUGCGAGGCUCAACCUCGUGAGGGGACAGAAACUGGUAUUCUUGAGUGUCGGAGAGGAAAGUGGAAUUCCAAGUGUAGCGGUGAAAUGCGUAGAGAUUUGGAAGAACACCAGUGGCGAAGGCGACUUUCUGGACGAUGUCUGACGCUGAGGCGCGAAAGCUAGGGGAGCGAACGGGAUUAGAUACCCUGGUAGUCC
rnacentral:rRNA from 1 species